rnacentral:lncRNA from 1 species
UAAAAAAUCAUGUAAAUUAGAGGAAAUAAAAAAGGGAAAGAAAGAAGAAGCAGUCAUUGCAUUGCAGAUCAAAUAAAAUAAGGUUGUUCUGACAAGCCACUCCACCCCUCCUUUUUUGUUAUUUGCCACUUUUAGCCAACUUUCCCAAAGCUUCCUUUUCUUCCCCCAACUGUACCUAUUCAACAGCCAAACAAACUGUACUUGUAUCAUUAGUUCCCAUAGUACAACCAUCAAAGCAUGUCGUACAAACCACUUUAAUGGUAAAGGAUAAAAAGAAGAUCUUUUAUGAAUUACAAGGACUAAAGUUGCAUGCUUUAUGAAAAUGGAGGGACCAGUGAUGGGUUAUUAAAAAAAAAAAAAAAGAUGAGAAGCAUGAACCAACUUGUUUUAUGUUUGACAGGUUGGACCAAAUAAGUAUUCUCAUCUUUCAACCAUGUGAUCCUGCCACAUCCCAACUGUCAAAAUGGUCUAAAAACAUUAUGUCCAAAAGGAGCAUAUUUACAUGUGUGACACCUUAAUUUAAUACUAAAAAAAUUAAACAAAAAUGUAUAUUUUUUUCUUUUUGUUUUAUAGAUAUUCCAAUCACUUAGUCUAACAUUUUUAAUCAUAUGUAUAUUAUAGAAUUUAAAGAAAAUUUAUUGAUCGAUAUUAAAUUAUUAAAUAUAUACCUGGAGUUGGUGUGGGCUUUGAAAGAAUAGCAGGAACAGCAGUGAUUGGGCCAGUGGAUGUCGGGGCACAAAAGAAUUGGGCCGGUAGGCCCAUUGCCUGUGAUUGAUGAUGGUAUUGAUACAUACUCAUAGGGUACAUUGGCAUCAAUGUGUGCGCACCCACCGUAGCCUGACUGGGAUACACAUGCGAGUAGUGCCCUCCAUUCAUGUAGGCCCCACCUGUAUACCCUAAUUUCUGUGUAAUUACAAAAUAUCCAUAUUUAGAAGAAUUAUUAUGCGAAUAAUUAACAAAUUAAUGAUGAAAAUUUUGAAUUGCCAUAUUUAUUUUGUUAUCAAAUUUAGGUUGAUUACGAUUAUAAUAAUAAGAAUAUAGUUGUGCGUAUUCAUGGGAAUAAAUGCAGGUGAGUUGCAGCUGAUCUGGAUCCACUUACAUGAUUGUAACUGACAUCAGUUGUAGCGACGUAUGUCGCCGGAGCAUAUCCGUAAUAAGGAACGGCGGCCUGGUGGUGGUGGUGGUGGUACGGAGAUGCCGGUGU